AAUCCAUCCAUUGGACAUUUCUGAAUUAUCUCCUUAAAUCAUUCCCAAGCUUCAUAUAACAUUUUAUCCUCCAAUUGCUGAAAAGACAUGAUGUCGUUUCUCAGUUU
rfam:Gossypium arboreum cultivar AKA8401 contig_19649_3, whole genome shotgun sequence.